UGGACCCACCUGACUCCAUUCCGAACUCAGAAGUGAAACGAAAUAGCGUCGAUGGUAGUGUGGGGUUUCCCCAUGUGAGAGUAGAACAUCGCCAGGC
rnacentral:rRNA from 1 species